UACAGAGGUCUCAAGCGUUGUUCGGAUUCAUUGGGCGUAAAGGGCGCGUAGGCGGCUUUUCAAGUCGGGCGUGAAAUCUCCGGGCUUAACCCGGAAGGGUCGUUCGAUACUGUUGAGCUAGAGUGUGGAAGAGGCAACUAGAAUUCCGUGUGUAGCGGUGAAAUGCGUAGAUAUACGGAGGAAUACCUGAGGCGAAGGCGGGUUGCUGGGCCAACACUGACGCUGAGGCGCGAAAGCCAGGGGAGCAAACGGG
rnacentral:rRNA from 1 species